rnacentral:rRNA from 1 species
UACGAAGGGGGCUAGCGUUGCUCGGAAUCACUGGGCGUAAAGGGUGCGUAGGCGGGUCUUUAAGUCAGGGGGGAAAUCCUGGAGCUCAACUCCAGAACUGCCUUUGAUACUGAGGAUCUUGAGUACGGGAGAGGUGAGUGGAACUGCGAGUGUAGAGGUGAAAUUCGUAGAUAUUCGCAAGAACACCAGUGGCGAAGGCGGCUCACUGGCCCGUAACUGACGCUGAGGCACGAAAGCUAGGGGAGCAAACGGG